rnacentral:sRNA from 4 species
UCUGUCUAUCACUUCCGACCAUGAAAAUCGCAAUGGCUCUUAUCGUGGUGGGAAAGCGCAUGGGCAGGAUGGUGUAACCAUCCGGCGGUAGCCACCCAUGCGCUAGAUGACAGGCUCCUCCGGGGCCUUUUUUUAUGCCCGAAAUUCGGGCUUCCGGCCACAAACGCAAAUCCCAGCAUAAACGGAACAGACAGAUGAGCACGGACAAUCAGGCGGCAGGCAAUCGGAUGACGGGAGCGGAGAUCGUUCUCAAGGCGCUGAAGGACAACGGCGUCGAACAUAUCUUCGGCUAUCCCGGC